rnacentral:sRNA from 1 species
AUACUACACUCGUUUAAUCCUUUUUUGAAGGAAUGGGGGACCCAAAAUCAUUACGGGGUGAAUUUUUAUACGUUUUAUGUAUAAAAACGGACAUCUCUUCGUCCGAACCCGACAGCUAACCCCGUAUACGUGAAGAGAGUCAUA